rnacentral:rRNA from 1 species
AUUGAACGCUGGCGGAAUGCUUUACACAUGCAAGUCGAGCGGCAGCGCGGGGGCAACCCUGGCGGCGAGCGGCGAACGGGUGAGUAACAUAUCGGAACGUACCCCGUCGUGGGGGAUAACACAGCGAAAGCUGUGCUAAUACCGCAUACGACCUGAGGGUGAAAGCGGGGGAUCGCAAGACCUCGCGCGAUGGGAGCGGCCGAUAUCGGAUUAGCUUGUUGGUGAGGUAAAGGCUCACCAAGGCGACGAUCCGUAGCUGGUCUGAGAGGACGAACCAGCCACACUGGAACUGAGACACGGUCCAGACUCCUACGGGAGGCAGCAGUGGGGAAUUUUGGACAAUGGGGGCAACCCUCGAUCCAGCCAUUCCGCGUGAGUGAAGAAGGCCU